rnacentral:rRNA from 1 species
GACAGAGGGUGCAAACGUUGUUCGGAAUUACUGGGCGUAAAGGGCUCGUAGGUGGCCAACUAAGUCGGACGUGAAAUCCCUCGGCUUAACCGGGGAACUGCGUCUGAUACUGGAUGGCUUGAGUUCGGGAGAGGGAUGCGGAAUUCCAGGUGUAGCGGUGAAAUGCGUAGAUAUCUGGAGGAACACCGGUGGCGAAGGCGGCAUCCUGGACCGACACUGACGCUGAGGAGCGAAAGCCAGGGGAGCAAACGGG